AACGUAGGAGACGAACGUUAUCCGGAGUUACUGGGCGUAAAGGGCGUGUAGGCGGUUUGUUAAGUCUGGCGUGAAAGCUCUCGGCUAAACCGGGAGAGGUCGUUGGAUACUGGCGAACUUGAGGAUGGUAGAGGCGUGUAGAAUUCCGUGUGUAGCGGUGAAAUGCGUAGAUAUACGGAGGAAUACCUGAGGCGAAGGCGGGUUGCUGGGCCAACACUGACGCUGAGGCGCGAAAGCCAGGGGAGCAAACGGG
rnacentral:rRNA from 1 species